AAUAAGAUGCCUGAGGCAAAGGACUAUUUUGAUAGAAUAGAUAACGUAUAUUAUUACUCUUAUUA
rnacentral:tRNA from 1 species